UACGGGGGGAGCAAGCGUUGUUCGGAUUUACUGGGCGUAAAGGGCGCGUAGGCGGCCAGCACAAGUCAGUUGUAAAAUCUCCGAGCUUAACUCGGAAAGGUCAACUGAUACUGUGCGGCUAGAGUGCGGAAGGGGCAACUGGAAUUCUUGGUGUAGCGGUGAAAUGCGUAGAUAUCAAGAGGAACACCUGCGGCGAAGGCGGGUUGCUGGGCCGACACUGACGCUGAGGCGCGAAAGCCAGGGGAGCGAACGGG
rnacentral:rRNA from 1 species